rfam:Triticum aestivum genome assembly, contig: Triticum_aestivum_CS42_TGACv1_scaffold_394533_5AS
UUUGUACUCCCUUCGUUCGAAAUUCCUUGUUUCGGAAAUGGAUGCAUUUAGAACUAAAAUACAUCUAAAUACAUUCGUUUCUGCGACAAGUAAUUCCGAACGAAGGGAGUAGUGC